UGUGUGUUUCUACAUCGACAGAAAAGAUCCACGCGUUGGAUCUUUAAUCUUCCAUAUUUGCUGAUUCUAAAAAUCUUUAGUUCUCUCUUUGUGCCGCUUGCUCCUCAUCAUUCUUAUACAGAUUAGGAUCUGCUUGCGGAGCCAUAUUUUCCUUCCACCACAAAGCUUUGAAUGGUUUCUCCGGCGGUCAUUCGUCUCUGCAUACCUCUCCAAGUUAUGACGUUCACGCCAACAUGAGAAAUGGACAUCCUCUCUCUGCAACUUCACUAAAAGAUUAUCAAUAUUAAGCAAAAAAAAAUGUUCAAGAAGAGAACACCUUCAACCUCAAAUGGUCUGCUUUUCCUCUGUAGAAAUUGUGCAUGAUACAACUUCAAUCCUUAUAGGUGGUGGAAGUGGCCCUGAACCUGCUCAUGCUGGAUUUGUUGGAGAAGCGAUGCUGACUGCAAUUAUCUAUGAACACGUUUCUGCCUCUCCAAAUGUUGACUCAAUUCUUGUUGUCUCUUACCUGAUUUAAUAUCGGGCAUACGAACCACCACAAAUCCCACGCAGUGCCUUCUUAUUGUCAAGAACAGGUAACUUCAGACCGUUUACGCCCAACAAAGAUGGACCUUGGUCUUGAAAUUCAUGGAAAAUCAGGAGCUGCUGUAACUGACCUUCAACCAGUAAAUUAGGCGGUUUCUCAUGUUCUGAAAGAGAUUUUUUCUCUGGUGAUGUGACAGGAGGGCCAUCAGGGGUGCCACAAAUUUUCGAAGGUAGAGGUUGCAUUGCGCGAUAAGCAUACGCCACGAAUACCACGAAGAGGACUACUACAAUUUUCUCAAACAUCCCUAAAAAUAUUCCCCCGUUAUAAGCUUGGAAUGAAAUCUUAAAAGCAAGAAAACACUUUCUCUACGACAGGAACAUUUAUGCUAUGAUGUUCGGGCUCUACAAAAAUACAAGUAGGUGUGUGUUAGUCCUCUAUGCAUUUUUAAGGAUAAGGUACGGGUACAAUAACAUUUUUGGAGUGUCGAAAAAAGAAAGAUAUUUCUAUGAUAAUUUUAUUCGUCUCUCGACUUUACUUUUCAUUCAACCAAUUUGAAGUUGUAAUUUCAAUUUGGCCUCGUGAUGAAAUUUAGUUUUUUAUU